UGGCUUUACCUGAAGACGGUGUGCUAACCGCUAGGAGGCAGCCGGCCACGGUAAGGUCAGCGACUGGGGUGAAGUCGUAACAAGGUAGCCGUAGGUGAACCUGCAGAAGGAUCA
rnacentral:rRNA from 1 species